AUGCUGCUGCUUGCGGCUGCUGCUCCUUGCCGGGUCUGCUGCUCUUUGCCAUUGUUGCUUGCCGCUGCUCCUUGCGACGGCUGCUCUGCUCCGGGAUGUUGGGCGUCACGGUGGGCAGUGACGACGCGUCGAUGGCGGUUUGGGUCCUGGAGGAGGGAGAAAGGUGCAACCUCCGAUUCGUCAUCGAGGCACAGGGAGUACGGCAGCUUGCCAUACCACACUUCGCGCACGGCGCCGGCAGCCAAGGUACCGAGGUCCAGGCAGCAGCAGCAGCACGACGAAAUUCUCGCCGGCGUCGCUCAUAUUGCCAUGGUCGACCAACUGCACAUCAGAGCUGACCUGGGCAAGCGCAGGAGUGGGGGAUGGGGAAGACUGAGUCUGGGCGUGGCGGUGAAAGGCAUGGCCGUGGUGGCUCGAUGUAGGCUUGGCGGCGGCGACGCUUGUGAGAGUGGCAUGGCCAUGGUGGCUCGGGAUAGAGAGUUCAGGGAAGAGAGAUAG
rnacentral:rRNA from 1 species